CCCAAUACUGAAGAAUCUCAAACCAGCAACCCUAACGGAGAUUGUGAAGGUUUUCAAAGUGGGGCACCUCGAUUUCUCGAAUCUGUGGUGUGGCGAAUAUCCGUGUUCUUCCGGCUUAACUAGCCUGUUUGAAAGAAAAUGCAAGGGGAAAUAUCUGAUACGGCUCUGUUAUUUGAUGCUUUGGGCAGCACUAUGCUCAGAAGUCAUUCAACUUCCUGCCAUCUCCCUAACUUGUAUUCUCUGGCAAAAUGAAGGUCUGAGACGUUUCUAAAAGACAGAGUUGGAAAUGAACCAUCAUUGGUGUUGACAGAGAUGCCAAGCAGUCACCUGAGUGCAUAUAGCGUUGCUUGCUGUCAAGCCUGGUGACAUAAGUCGAUUCCUGGAAACUAUGUGACACAAAGGGAGAACUGACUCCUGAAAGAUGUCCUCGGAUCUUCACAUAUGCACAGUGGCACACGGCAUGUACCUAGCCAACCAUGCACAUAGUAUAUUAAAAUUAUUUUUAAAAAUCCAGUGU
rnacentral:lncRNA from 1 species